rnacentral:rRNA from 1 species
AUUGAACGCUGGCGGCAGGCCUAACACAUGCAAGUCGAACGAGUGGCGGACGGGUGAGUAAUGUCUGGGAAACUGCCUGAUGGAGGGGGAUAACUACUGGAAACGGUAGCUAAUACCGCAUACCAUCGGAUGUGCCCAGAUGGGAUUAGCUUGUUGGUGGGGUAACGGCUCACCAAGGCGACGAUCUCUAGCUGGUCUGAGAGGAUGACCAGCCACACCGGGACUGAGACACGGCCCGGACUCCUACGGGAGGCAGCAGUGGGGAAUAUUGCGCAAUGGGGGCAACCCUGACGCAGCCAUGCCGCGUGAAUGAAGAAGGCCUUCGGGUUGUAAAGUUCUUUCGGUAUUGAGGCGUUAAAUACAGAAGAAGCACCGGCUAACUCCGUGCCAGCAGCCGCGGUAAUUC